rnacentral:rRNA from 1 species
UACAGAGGGUGCGAGCGUUAAUCGGAAUUACUGGGCGUAAAGCGCACGUAGGUGGCGACGUAAGUCGGGUGUGAAAUCCCCGGGCUCAACCUGGGAACUGCAUCCGAAACUGCCUUGCUCGAGUAUGGGAGAGGGAAGUGGAAUUUCCGGUGUAGCGGUGAAAUGCGUAGAUAUCGGAAGGAACAUCAGUGGCGAAGGCGACUUCCUGGACCAAUACUGACGCUCAGGUGCGAAAGCGUGGGGAGCAAACAGG